UACGUGGGGGGCAAGCGUUGUUCGGAAUUACUGGGCGUAAAAGGCUCGUAGGUGGCCAACUAAGUCAGACGUGAAAUCCCUCGGCUUAACCGGGGAACUGCGUCUGAUACUGGAUGGCUUGAGUUUGGGAGAGGGAUGCGGAAUUCCAGGUGUAGCGGUGAAAUGCGUAGAUAUCUGGAGGAACACCGGUGGCGAAGGCGGCAUCCUGGACCAACACUGACGCUGAGUGAGCGAAAGCCAGGGGAGCAAACGGG
rnacentral:rRNA from 1 species